UACGAGGGGGGCGAGCGUUGUUCGGAAUUAUUGGGCGUAAAGAGUGUGUAGGCGGUUCUCUAAGUUCGGUGUGAAAUCUCCCGGCUUAACUGGGAGGGUGCGCCGGAAACUGGAGGGCUUGAGUAUGGGAGAGGAAGGCGGAAUUCCUGGUGUAGCGGUGAAAUGCGUAGAUAUCAGGAGGAACACCUGCGGUGUAGACAGCUUUCUGGACCAUUACUGACGCUGAGACACGAAAGCGUGGGUAGCAAACAGG
rnacentral:rRNA from 1 species